rnacentral:rRNA from 1 species
CCGGCUGGGGGACAAUGUCAGGUGGGGAGUUUGACUGGGGCGGUCGCCUCCGAAAGGGUAUCGGAGGCGCUCAAAGGUUCCCUCAGAAUGGUUGGAAACCAUUCGAAGAGUGCAAAGGCAGAAGGGAGCUUGACUGCGACACCGACGGGUGGAGCAGGUACGAAAGUAGGACUUAGUGAUCCGGUGGUAUAAAGUGGGAUUGCCAUCGCUCAACGGAUAAAAGCUACCCUGGGGAUAACAGGCUUAUCACUCCCAAGAGUUCACAUCGACGGAGUGGUUUGGCACCUCGAUGUCGGCUCAUCGCAUCCUGGGGCUGAAGUAGGUCCCAAGGGUUGGGCUGUUCGCCCAUUAAAGCGGUACGCGAGCUGGGUUCAGAACGUCGUGAGACAGUUCGGUCCCUAUCCGGCGUGGGCGUAGGAUAUUUGAGAGGAGCUGCCCUUAGUACGAGAGGACCGGGGUGGACUGGCCGCUGGUGGAUCUGUUGUAUUACCAAAUGCAUAGCAGAGUAGCCAAGCCGGGACGGGAUAAACGCUGAAGGCAUCUAAGCGUGAAGCCCCCCUCAAGAUGAGAUAUCCCAUAACGUCAAGUUAGUAAGACCCCUUGAAGACGACGAGGUAGAUAGGGCAGAGGUGGAAGUG